UUAUUUAUUUUUAAGAUUUUAUUUACUUAUUCAUGAGGGACACACAGAGAGGCAGACAGAGACACAGAGACAGGAGAAGCAGGCUCCACGUAAGGAGCCUGAUAUGGAACUCUAUCCUGGGACUCUGGGAUCACACCCUGAGCUGAAGGCAGACGCUCAACUGCUGAGCCACCCAGGUGUCCCUAAAGAUUUAUUUAUUCAUAAGAGGCACAGACAGAGAGAGGCAGAGACAUAGGCAGAGGGAGAAGCAAGCUUCUUCCAGGGAGCCCCAUGUGGGACUUGAUCCCUGAUCCUGGGAUCAUGCCCUGAGCCAAAGGCAGACGAUCAAACACUGAGCUACCCAGGUGUCCCAAGAUGGCAGUUUAGAAAUACCUCAGAGGCUACACAAUGUCCAAGAGGAAUAAGGCACUGUUGUCAGAAAACAAAAAGCUCAGGUAGUAGAAGAAUGGAUUUCUGACUUGAAUGUUAGAAAGUAUAAUCUUUAGGGGCUCCUCAGUCAGUUGGGCGGCCAAGUCUUGAUUUUGGCUCAGGUCAUGAUCUCUGUGUCCUGAGAUAAAGCCCAUUGUAGAGCUCUGUGCUCAGUGAAGUCUGUUUGAGAUCCUUUCUCUCCUUCUGCCCCUCCUUCAGCUCACACACAUACUCUCUCUCUCUCUGAUUAGCACAAUAUAUGUCAGGCGGUGGACCCCAGUGCUAGUUUGCUGGUUUAUUUACACAGUUGUAAUUGCUUGAGUUUCUAAAGUUUAGGCUUUAUUGUUAUUCAUCUGAGUAUAAGCAUGAUAGUUCUUUAAACACCUUUUAAUACUUAGUCUAGUCAGCAGCCACCAUAGAUAUUAAUAAAACCUAUAUGUGGUGACAGGCCUGCUCCUUCUUUUUGGUUGACUUGCUGUACCAGUUGGUAAUAAACACUUCCUCCUCUGUGGUUAAACACCCAAGUUAGUCAAGUCAGUUACCAGUCAUUAGGAAAUGGAAGUCAUAUAAAUAUAAAAAUGUUUUAAAGUAGCAAAACUUGGAUUGUGACAUAGCUCAUUCAUAAUUAGCAUGACAGAUUAUAUAUAUAUAUAUAUGUAUAUAUAUACAUAUAUAUGAAUUUUAGGCUAAAAGUUGAAUAUUUUCAAUUCAUGCUCAUCUGUUGUUCACCUCUUGGUACUGGUUCUACUUUAACUUUCUUUUAAUACUUAAAAAAAUUUCUCUUCAUUAGUGGGUAUUUACACCUUGCUACUUAAGGUCAAAUUUAAUUCAUGCAUAACUUUUGGAGUACCUGCCUUUCAAAGGUUCAGGUUUCCAGUCAAUUGAACAUUAUUUUCUUAUUUGAUGUGUUCAUUAAUUAUAAUAGGAGAUUGGUAACUGGACAAAUCUGGCCCAAUUUUACCAUACAACUCUAAAUGAUUAUUCAAAUAAAUGACUUGUAUACACAGAUUAUACUUUUAACUCUUUUUAGGAACUGCAUAUUUUAUAAAUUACUUUUAAGAAGAAGCUGCAGUUAAAAUAUAGACUAUUUUCAGCAUGAGUUCAGGUCUGCCACAAUUGGUAAGCUCAUGAAUUUUUUUCCUCAAAAUCUACUUCUUCAUGGUCAAAACUAUAUCAGUUAUCAUAUUUUUCCCUAUACUUCAUCAUUUUGUUUUCAAAAAUACUUAAGUAUAAUUUGAAAAUCUUGUAACAUUACAUUUUCAAAUGGAGUUGGUCUGAGCCAAUAGAAAUAAAAAAAUAACCAACUUUUAAUAUGUUCUUGCUAUGUUCCAGACUUUGUACUAAAUAUUGUAUAACUGUUAUUUUAUUUAACUCAUAUGGUAACCCAGUGAGGUAGAUACUUGCUAUGGGUUGAAUUAUAUGUCUCUCUAAAUAAUAUGACUGUGUUUGGAGAUAAGGCUUUGAAAGAGAUAAUUAAGGUAAAAUCAAGUCAUAAAGUAAGCUCUAACCCAAUAUGACUGGUGUCUCUCUCUCUCUAGGACACAGAUGACCAUGUGAAGACAAAGGAGAAGAUGGCCAACUACAAAACUAUAAGACAAGGAAAGAGACAUCAGAAUUAAGUCAACCACAUGACACAUUCAUCUUGGAUUUCUAGCUUCCAGAAUUGUGAGAAAAUAAAUUAUUGUUACAUAAGCUACUCAGUCUGUGUUAAUUUGUUAUGGCAAUCCUGAUAGACUAACACAGUAAGAUUAUUAUUCCCAUUUUAUAAAUGCAUCAUCUGAGGUUUCAAGAGAUCAAAGUGUCAAGAACCACAUGGAUAGAAAGUGGUUGAGUUGGGGUUCAAAUCCUGGUUACUUGCUAAGUAAAUAUCUCCAUCACAUCCCAAGUGCAGUCACUAUGUCCAAAGGCACAAACAUAAAGAAAAAAAAUUCCAAAGUGGAGCAGGACUAAAGGGUAUAAAUUAUGAAUUGUUAAAUAGUCCUUGUAUCAAAAUCAAGCAUUGCAUGAAAACAGUGUGGAUGUGGCUAAUGGCAGUAAUGGUAUUCUCAGACACCAUGUCCUUCCUGUUAUUAUAAAGCAUUUUUACUCACUGCCCACAAGUCCCAAAGUUGUUCUGAAAAGUACAAGGUCCAUAAACAGAUGCUUAUUUAUUUAUUUAUUUAUUUAUUUAUUUAUUUAUUCAUGAGAGACACCCAGAGAGAGGGGCAGAGACAUAGAUAGAAGGAGAAGCAGGCUCCAUGCAUGGAGUCCGAUGUGAGACUCAAUCCCAGGAUCUCCAGGAUCACGCCCUGAGCUGAAGGCAGACACUUAACUGCUGAGCCACCAAGGCAUCCCCAACAAAUACUUCUUUAAGGAAGUAAAGGGAAGAUAAGAAGGAAUUCUUAGAAAAUAAAUUUGGAAAAUUCUCUUUAUCCCCCUUUUGGAGCAUCCUGUUGUGUAUUACCAUGUUGAAGAUUCUAGAGUAAAGAAAUAUCUUUAUCUAAUCUCGUGUUUUCUAACUUGAUUGAUCAUAAGACUCAUUUUCUGCAACAGCUAUUUACAUUCUACAGUGUUCAUGUUUCUCAGCACGAAUUAAAAAAAAAAUGCUUACACAGAAGUGAUGGUAGUGAUAGCUAAUGCUAUGGUGGUAAUCAUACUGCUAUAUGUAAGUGUAUCCAGUCAACAUGCUGUACACCUUAAACUUACACAAAGUUCUAUGUCAUUUAUAUUUCAAUAAAGCUAGAAAAAAAUGCUCGCAUAAGUAAUAGGCUCUUUGAAGUAAGAGGGUGUUAAUGGCAAACCAUGUAUUUCACAAUUAAUUACUUGAACUAAAUUUUACAUUACAAUUUACAUUGCUAUUUUAAAAUCUCACAAAUAACAAGCAUACGUGUUCAAUCCCAAAUAAGAUUUCUAAAGAGCACUUUACACUUAAAUGGGAGAAGUAUUAAGAAAGGUCAUAUGCUUACAUGCAUACAAAUUAGUUUUAACAAAACAAACGUACAUCUAUCCUUUGAGUCAGGUUAUCAAACUCAUUCAUCUGAAUGAAAAAAAAUUAGAAUUUUCAACAUAAUAAUUUUCAUGUUUUUCCAUUGCAUCGGAGAUAAUGUUAUCUCUAUGACAGAAAAGGACAAGUACAUAUUCUGUUGGAAGCUAAUUAUAGUAAACAUUAAGAAAGUACUACCUCAUUUUAUGCCUCAUCGUUAGCGCUGAUUGUUUACCAAAAAUCUAUAUGUUAAGGGUAGUUCUCCAAGCCUUCACACAUUCAAGACAGGCAUGCAAGUGACCUGAAGAACCCAAGGAAAGGGUGGCUUGGUAACAUUUUUACUAUGUGGAAAUAUCACAUGCUAUUUGAUCUAUUUGUUUUGACAUAUUUGUUCUUAAAAAUGCCAACCCCAUUACAUAGGCAGGGUUAGCCUACAUCUUUUCUCUCUGAGCUUGGUGGGUCCAGCAUCAGUUCUUGUGCUCAAUGAUUGAGAGAUAACACUACUUCCUGUGUGUCUUAUUUAAGAAAAUUCAGAAAUUUAAAAGAAGAAAUUGAGACUUUCAUUUUACAAAGACAUUGUAAACUUUAAAAAAUCAUUUUAUAGAGAGAUCAACAGUUUUUUUUCCUUAAAUAUUCUUUCAAAUACACUUCAAUUUGCACACAACUUUCCAAGAAAGUAUUUUUUACUUAGAAUGUAGUACAUCAGCAUUUUAAAUUUUCUCCCACAAUUAUUUUACAUACAUUUAAUUAUAAUUUACACUUAACCUUGAGGGCACAGAAAGUUACUUAGACUAUUUUAAAGUUAUAAUUAUUUUGUGCCAUAGAUAGAUUUUUAAUUAAGAGGAUAACUCUAUACAGUCUAAAUUAUGAUCUUUACUAUAUUAUAAUAGUUUUAUAUUUUAGGGAAGAAUUAAUUUAAUUUUAAAAUAAAUAAUUUGAUUAAUUAGUGAUAAAAUAUUUGUGUAUGUAAAUUAAUGUCUUUUAAUGCAAUGAUCUUUUUGCAGAUCAGAGAAUGCUAAUAAUAGGACACUAACUAUAAAUAGUUCUUUUAUACAUAUUAAUGAUCCAUAAUAAGAAAAUAGUUUGUUAUUUUAACAAAUCAUAAUAGUAUUCCCUUCUUUGUAUAAUAGUAAAUACAAAGAAUAUUUUCUAAAAUUUAUUUAAAUUCAGACACAUUUCCUUAUUUUAAACCUAAUUAUUAUUCUUUGAGCUUUCUAAAACUUUAUCUUACUUGUUAAUAUUGUUAUCUAAAUCUCCUGUGCUACAUAUAGGCAAAGAGGCAUAUGUAAGUGAAAAAUAUCUCUAGAGUAUAUAGGACUUGAUAUUAAACUAAAUAAUGUGUAACCUAAUUAUAUUUUAUGAAAAAUAAUUUGUUAAAAAUAUAUAUAUUUUUUUGCUAAGGAAAAAAGCUACAUCUUUUGCUUAAUAGACUUCUAUGCUUUGCUUUUUUCCCCUGAAAUUACAAAAAACGAAUUUAAAAAUAUUUAUUUUGUGGCUUAAAAACUUUUGGAAACAUUUCAAAUGGGGUACAUUGACAACUUGAAAUUAUUUACUCAAAUAAUGAGAAGAGGGAUCCCUGGGUGGCACAGCGGUUUGGCGCCUGCCUUUGGUCCGGGGAGCGAUCCUGGAGACCCGGGAUCGAAUUCCACGUCGGGCUCCCUACAUGGAGCCUGCUUCUCCCUCUGCCUGUGUCUCUGCCUCUCUGUCUCUCUCUGUGUGACUAUCAUGAAUAAAUAAAUAAAAUCUUUAAAAAUAAUAAUGAGAAGAGUUUUUUUAAUAUUAGAUUUUUCCAGAGCCUGAAUUUCACAUUAAAAAAAUAACAAAGAAACAAAAUAUAAAUGUUUGUUAGUUUGUUUUUUUUUUUUUCAGUUCCAUAGUAGAUAAAAAUGCAUCUAGCGUUGUAUUUUAGGGAAACCACCUCUCCCUUUCCCUUUCUAGAGAAAGCCAGUGCUGUUCACGUAAUCCUGACAUGUGUUUGUUCUGAUUGUGUCUCACCCCUUCCCAGGCUCUUAGGGUGGGGCUUGUGAUCCAGGCCUGGCCUAACAUAUUAUUGUCAGAGUAUGAUCGGCUCUGUCCCAGUCCCUCACUGGGACUUUUGAGAUGUCAUGGUAAUCUCUGGGAUCUAAAGAUCAUGUAAACCUAAAACAGUCUUUGCCCAUUGCUCGUCUAAGGGGGAGACCUUCCUGGACAAUGAAGCAAAAAGGUAGGGGAGUCCAAUAAAAAGAUAGAGGUAGAGCCUUGUUGUCCUUCUUUGAGAUUCAGCUGAGAUUGUAACAACUCUAAAUCGUGGACCAUCUUGUUACAUGAACCAAACCAAACCAAACCAGACCAAACCAAAAUAAAACAGAGACAAAAAAUAAACAAAUGAACCAUUGUUGCUUCAGUUGAUUGGAGUUAGGUUCUGUCACUUGAAAUCAAGAGUCUUUAUCUGAUAUAAGUACAUUAUUUCAUCUGAACACCAGAGCUUGGGAAAUUGAGUAAAUUCAAUGUGUUUAACAAAUAUUGAGUUUCAAAUAUGUUCUAGGCACUAUUCCAGAACAUAGGAUUUAAAAAAAAAUCUCUGUCCUUUACAAACCUGUAUUUUACUUGGGGGACAUAGCUAAUAAAACAUAAUCACAAUUAAUUAGUAAAUUUAAUGUAUACGUGGAGGAAGAGAAUUCCAGACAAAGCAAAAGCCAAUGUCAUUGCACAAUCAUAUCUAUUAUAUCCAAGGAGCAAUAGGGAGAGAAGAUUUCUAUAGAAAGAGAAGCAGAGAGUCUGGGUCAGUAGCUCCUGGGGAAAUUGGAAUCAAGAAAAUACUUGGGUGGGGGGGACACCUGGGUGGCUCAGCGGUUGAGCGCCUGCCUUCGACCCAGGGCGUGAUCCUGGAGUCCUGGAAUUGAGUCCCACAUCGAGGUCCCUGCAUAGAGCCUGCUUCUCUCUCUGACUAUGUCUCUGCCUCUCUCUCUCUCUCUCUGUGACACUCUCAUGAAUAAAUAAAUAAAAUCUUAAAAAAAAAAGAAAAAGAAAAUACCUGGGGGAAUCAACCAAUGUAGAAGGAAACACUGAUCACACAGGAGAGAAAAGGCAGAGUUGCUCACCAGGAAGACAUUGGUUGAGGUCUAGUCAAUAAGAGAAGGAUAUUGGAACUAUUCCCUAUCCUUUUCAAAGCUAUCCUUGAAAAGGAUAUGGAAUA
rnacentral:lncRNA from 1 species